GGACGGGUGAGUAACACGUGGAUAACCUACCUAUAAGACUGGGAUAACUUCGGGAAACCAGAGCUAAUACCGGAUAAUAUAUUGAACCGCAUGGUUCAAUAGUGAAAGACGGUUUUGCUGUCACUUAUAGAUGGAUCCGCGCCGCAUUAGCUAGUUGGUAAGGUAACGGCUUACCAAGGCAACGAUGCGUAGCCGACCUGAGAGGGUGAUCGGCCACACUGGAACUGAGACACGGUCCAG
rnacentral:rRNA from 1 species